GGCACCUACUUGCAGUGUGUAAAAAAUAGAAAACUUUAUUUAUGCAGGUGUUCAUGCUCCUGUAAAAAACUGGAAUUUAGUGUUGACCCUGCGGAGCUGGAUCCGGCCCUAUGGAAACACAGCGGGCUCAUCAGUCACAAAGUAGGAGCUGAAGAGAACACUUUAAUGCUGAUAUUACACCUCAUUGUUAAUGCUUAAUUUGUGGCCAGCCAGUGACAAAGGCAUUGCACUAAACAGUGAGACUCUGUCUUAAUCCUCAGCCCUUAUGUGGCAAACAGGCGAGCAAAAGCCAAGAAUCACCUCACAAAGCUUCACUUGGGUACUCAGCUCUCCCUGUUACUGCACAAGUGCAGAGUGCUGCCGCAGUGGCUAGACUUCAGCAGAAAGCCUCCAGCCCCGUCCUCAAGCGAGUGGCCGCAGUGUCUACACGCGAAGCACAAAGCCAGCGUGCUAGUGUGUCUCACCUGCAGACAGAAGAUGAAGCCUUGGCAUGGGCUCUGCAGCAGUCUCCGUAUGAAGCUGAACUGCAGGGCCACAGGUGAUUCCGGGUGUUCCACCCUAGAAGCCAUGGAUGAGAAGACAGGGAACCGAGCAGCCCAAUUUGUCUUGUGGUAAAGUAUAUAUUGGACAAACCAACAGAUGUUUUAAUGACUUUGCAAGAGAGCACAUAGGUUCAAAUAAAUUACUUUCAGCAAGCCAAUUGUCUCACCACAUAACGACAGCACAAAUGGAACUUGCAAUUUCAUAGCACCUACUUCAUCACUCGUAAUUACUAGCACCAGUUGUCAGGAGAGUUAUUGGAACUCGUUACCAUUGAAAACCACCGUGACACUUUC
rnacentral:misc_RNA from 1 species